AACGAACGCUGGCGGCAUGCCUAACACAUGCAAGUCGAACGAGACCUUCGGGUCUAGUGGCGCACGGGUGCGUAACGCGUGGGAACCUGCCCUUAGGUUCGGAAUAACUCCCCGAAAGGGGUGCUAAUACCGGAUAAUGUCUUCGGACCAAAGAUUUAUCGCCUUUGGAUGGGCCCGCGUUGGAUUAGCUAGUUGGUAGGGUAAAAGCCUACCAAGGCGACGAUCCAUAGCUGGUCUGAGAGGAUGAUCAGCCACACUGGGACUGAGACACGGCCCAGACUCCUACGGGAGGCAGCAGUGGGGAAUAUUGGACAAUGGGCGAGAGCCUGAUCCAGCAAUGCCGCGUGAGUGAUGAAGGCCUUAGGGUUGUAAAGCUCUUUUACCCGGGAUGAUAAUGACAGUACCGGGAGAAUAAGCUCCGGCUAACUCCGU
rnacentral:rRNA from 1 species